GUGGCUCUCGGCGACAGUGCCCUGACGUGGGGCAAAAGGGGGAAGUUCUGGAUCAGCGGGAGGAAUUUCUGGAAUGGGGUUUGCUUCAGAAUGCACCGCAAAGACCAUCGAAACUUUUGCUUUCUGAUUCUGCAGCAAAGAGCGCGUCCAAAAGGAACUCCUCGACCUCGUGGUCGUGGUCAGUACCUUCCAUAGUGCUGCCCGGGCUUGUCUGGGAAUGGGAACGAUUGGGAGCUCUGGCAAAGCACCUGGACACGAGCCCUUUGCUUCCCACAGGUGGUGCUUUAGGAAAGGCUCUCCAGCCUGGGAAGGAGCUUUUGGCUCCAGACACAUUCCCAGUCCCCAGGAGCAGCAGGACCUGUGCUGUCCCCAGCAGGACAGGAAACUUUCAGGACACUGAACUCGUCCCACCUUUGCCCAGAGCUUUGGUGUUUGAGCGGCCGAACCCAG